rnacentral:rRNA from 1 species
AUGAUGGGCCAAGUACCUCUACCCAUGACCCGAGAACGUCUACGACCCGUGUACAACUACCGUCGCCAAGACCCGGAUCGACAAGCACCACCCCCGUCAAGUACUACUACAAACCUGGAGAAUUCGGAUGCAUCAAGUCCCCGAGGAGACCCGUUUUUCGUCAAGUUCGACUACCGUAGCGCCGAAGACCUUGGAUGCUCGAACGAGUACCAAACAAAACGCCAAGUACCACUAUCGCCGAGUACGACUACUUCCGCGAUGAUACAAGAACAACUACCGUCGACCCUCAAAGCCUCCGUGGACGUCAAGUCCCUCGUCGUGAUCCGGAACAUCUACGGAAAAUUGUGCAACUAA